GUGGCCAAAUGCUUAAUUUAUAAUUCUUUUUUAAUUGACAGAUCGUCAUUUAUUAAGUGUGGUUUCACGAAGUCAGGAAUAUAACAGUUGUUGUCCAUUCGUUUGAUGUGUUUGUGCUUUUGGUUUUACCAUUUGAUUAGGGACUUUCUGUUUUGAAUUUUCCUCGGAGUUCAGUUUUUUGUGAUUAAACUUUUUACAUAUAUCCAAUUUUAGUUUUAGUUCUUACAUGUUUUACUUGUAAUUUUUAUCACCAAUACAUUUCGACUGUCGAAAGUUCCAAAUUAAACUCUGUAAGUUGCAUGGUGAGUUGGUCAGUUGAAAAUUUG
rnacentral:lncRNA from 1 species